rnacentral:lncRNA from 1 species
UGGCAAAGCAGCCCUUGGCUGAUUGCUUGACUUGUCAGAGUCUAAGUUAAGAAAAUCAUUGUUAGGUUUCCAGUAAUUAUUUUUGAGUCAAAAUGGAUGCUUUGAAAUAAAACCGUGAUGCAACGGAGCAGACUUUACAGUUGGCGGUAGUGCGUUCCCGGUGGGACAGCACUGCCGCCAGGAGGCUUGGCUGGGGGCGGGGGGUCCCGCUGAGUGAAGCAGCACACGUGGCGUUGUUUAUCUCCCAGUUUCCUCCCUUGAGUUGAAGCCCGGAAUAUCUCUCCCGUGCUUCUGCCCUUUGGCUUCAGUGCUAGAGCUCCCGUGUUAGGUUUCUUUUGAUCCUUCCGGUGUCACUCAGGCACGGGGAUCAUGAGUGACCUU